CCUACGGGUGGCAGCAGUGAGGAAUAUUGGUCAAUGGACGGAAGUCUGAACCAGCCAUGCCGCGUGCAGGAAGCCGGCUCUAUGAGUUGUAAACUGCUUUUGUACAAGGGUAAACCUGAAUACGUGUAUUCAGCUGACAGUACUGUACGAAUAAGGAUCGGCUAACUCCGUGCCAGCAGCCGCGGUAAUACGGAGGAUCCAAGCGUUAUCCGGAUUUAUUGGGUUUAAAGGGUGCGUAGGCGGAUUGAUAAGUUAGAGGUGAAAUGUCCGAGCUUAACUCGGGAACUGCCUCUAAUACUGGUGAUCUAGAGAGUAGAUGCGGUAGGCGGAAUGUAUGGUGUAGCGGUGAAAUGCUUAGAGAUCAUACAGAACCGCGAUUGCGAAGGCAGCUUACUAAACUGUGACUGACAUUGAUGCUCGAAAGUGUGGGUAUCAAACAGGAUUAGAUACCCGAGUAGUC
rnacentral:rRNA from 1 species